UAUCAGACUUUGGUAUGGCAAGAAUUUUUUGUGAGAAUGAGGAUCGGGCUAAUACCAGAAGAGUUGUUGGAACAUAUGGUUAUAUGUCUCCAGAAUAUGCGAUGCAAGGACAAUUUUCAGGAUAAUUUUCUGAAAGAUCAGAUGUCUUUAGCUUUGGAGUUUUGCUAUUGGAGAUUGUUAAUGGAAGACGGAAUUCCAGCUUUUAUGAUGAAGAGAAUUCUCUUACUCUUUUAGGAUUUGCCUGGAUACAGUGGACAGAACACAAUAUUUCAUCUCUAAUAGAUGAAGGAAUAUAUGAUCCUAGUCUUCAUAAAUAUAUUUUUAGGUGCAUACACAUAGGACUUCUAUGUGUACAAGAAUUUGCUGCAGAUAGGCCCUCUAUGGCUGCUGUAAUUUCAAUGCUUAACAGUGAGAUUGUGGAUCUUCCUCCACCAACGAAACCUGCAUUCACUCUGAGACAAAAUAUGUUAAGUUCAAUGUCCUUUGUAAGAAGCAAUGACCUGAACUCCCAUAACUCUGUCAGUAUUUCGGACAUCCAAGGAAAAUAGCAAACCAAGUGCUCAAGAAAUGGAGAUUAUGUUAAUACUACAAAAGGUUGCUGAAAAUUAGAACAUUGUAGGUGUUGCCUUUGUUUUCUUUUUUUGGUCCAAAGGUAUACGUUGGAAGGGCUAUUUAGAGAGAACUUUGAAGUCUUUUAAGUUCCACUGAUCGGAAAAAGUUAGUGGAAAAAGUUCAGUAUUAUGAUGAAUGCAUAUAAGGUUUUGUUGGGAUCGAAUGAAGAAUAUUGAAUGGAAAGGAUUUAAGAUCCAUUGUUUGGAUAAAAAAAAAUAUAGAAAGGAAUGGAAUGGAAGGAGUUGGAACUUGUACAAUCUGAUUCCAUCAUUUCUUAUGUAUUGUAUAAUCCCUUAUUCAGUUUCUAUA